rnacentral:rRNA from 1 species
GACGUAGGAGGCGAGCGUUAUCCGGAUUCACUGGGCGUAAAGCGCAUGUAGGCGGUUGGAUAAGUCCGUUGUUAAAGCCCCUGGCUCAACUGGGGGAGGUCAAUGGAGACUAUUCGACUUGAGGGCAACAGAGGCACAUGGAACUCCCGGUGUAGCGGUGGAAUGCGUAGAGAUGGGGGAGAACACUCGUGGCGAAGGCGGCCAGCUAGACCAGUUCUGACACUGAGGCGCGACAGCGUGGGGAGCAAACAGG